rnacentral:rRNA from 1 species
UACGUAGGUGGCAAGCGUUGUCCGGAUUUACUGGGCGUAAAGAGCGCGCAGGCGGUCGUGCAAGUCGCGUGUGAAAGCCCCCGGCUCAACUGGGGAGGGUCACGCGAUACUGCUCGACUCGAAGGCAGGAGAGGGAAGUGGAAUUCCGAGUGUAGAGGUGAAAUUCGUAGAUAUUCGGAGGAACACCAGUGGCGAAGGCGGCUCACUGGCUCGAUACUGACGCUGAGGCGCGAAAGCGUGGGGAGCAAACGGG